CGAAGUCAGUGACCUAACCGUAAGGAAGGAGCUGCCGAAGGUGGGACCGAUAACUGGGGUGAAGUCGUAACAAGGUAGCCGUAUCGGAAGGUGCGGCUGGAUCACCUCCUUUCUAAGGA
rnacentral:rRNA from 1 species